rnacentral:lncRNA from 1 species
GAUUUUUCUCUGCGAAGCAUGGGCAUUAACAUAAACUUCAUGAACUUAUUAUUAUGCGGUUGGAACCCAAAUUAUUGUUUCAAAACCAAUAAUUCCCCAACCACCCCAUGUCCCCAACCCUACUUCCAAAUAUAAUAACUUUCUUCGCCCCCAUUCAUAUUUCAUGGCUAAUCCAGAAAUAGAUGCUCUCUACUGCGAUGUUGUCACAUCCCUUGAAUGGCUUCUUACCUUUUACCAAAUUUGCUGCACAUCACUCCAUCAGUUAUUUACGGAGAAUAAAUAAUUAGUUAAUCUUUUACAAAUAUUGGUGUUUGCACUCAUUUUUGUUCAAAAUUAAGACGACUAAUCAACCAAUCCAACGGGAAAUGGUCUCCAUGCAAAACCUAUUUCUGGUAAACGUUAUAUAUGUAAUCACUAAUCACUUAAAGUUUAAUCUUUAUACUUGAUUUACAAAUGAAUGAGUUUAAUAACUCACUUUUUAUUGCACCAUUUCGUGCGAGUUGUAUAAAAAUAUUUGGAAAAUGAUAAUCAAUUCAUGCAUGUAGGUCACACUCACAUCCUGAAUUUCGUGCGUUCACCCCCAUUUAUCUCCUAAUAAAAGCUGAUAAUUAUGGAAAGAAAGAAAUUGACUCAUGCCAAGAAAAGUAGGAAAGCAAGUGGAUGCUGGUGAGAGCACUCUUUCGGAUUCAGAAAGUCCAUGCAUGCAUACCCCCAUGGAUUGUUGCUGUCCGCGAAGUGGACCUCACCCAAACAAGUAGGAAACCCUAAAACCAAAAAUAUAUCAAUAGAAAACAGUGGUUGACGUUGACCAUCGACCAACCCUUGCAACUACGGUGCUUACGUGUAAAGCCAUGAAUGGUUGUUUUGUGACUCUCAAGGCCCAACGAGUACUCUGCCCUACCAAGUGGCCUUUUCACACUCAUUCUUGGAGGCUUGGAGCAAUGAUGAAAAAUCAUUUGGGUGGAAAAUUUACAUUCAUCUCUUUCUAACAGUCAGGACUCCGUAAAGGAUCGGGAUUUAGAACUUUGGCGGCUUGUACCAAAUUUUUCUGUGGUAAUCAACUUCCUGAUUUAUUAUAUGCAUGAGAAAUAAAAGAGCACUUGUGUCUUGACUUGAAGAGUUGAGCACCAAUCUCCAAUAUUAAUCCGAGUUGGUUGGACCAAUGAGAUUGUGGUCACUCCCAAGUAUGGAGAAGGACUUCCAUGCAAGCGCGAAAAAUGUUAAUGCGUUGGAGUUGAGUGAGGAGAAGGAAGUACUUCCAUGCAAGCGAGAAAAAUGUUAACGCGUCGGAGUUGAGUGAGGAGAAGGACUUCUAUAGUUCCAUGGAAGUGAGGCACAUUAAUUGUAAUGGUUCAUGGCUUCAGGACUUGGAGACUAAUGUCAAUUUGAUAAUUACCUCAUUGAGAGGGCACAAUACGUUAUUUGUGCCAUCAUUCUUACAGUACAAGAAAAAUGGCAGUAGAAUGACCUUUUUUUUAUUUUUUUAUUUUUUGACUGAAGCGAUAGAGUUUCUUUAUCACAAACAGAGCAAUUACAAGGGUGCCAAAUGAGUAUUUAUGCUUUAGUGAUCAAUUUCUUGAUCGGGAGGUAAUUAGCACAAAACGCAUUAGAAUGACAUUUUUGACUGCGUACCAUAUAAUCUCGUCAUAACAGGACAAAUUAAAUUAGAAAUCUCUUAAUGAUAAAGGCUCAUAUAUAUUAAACUUUCCAAAAUACUCACUUAUGAUGAUGAAAAUUUUUGGCUAAAAUUUCUAUAUUGCAAAUACACAUGAAGUAUAGAUGCUUAUCAAUGGAUACUGUCGUCAUAACCUUUUUCGGCUUUUCCACUUCUCACUUCCUCUUCUUAGAAUCUAGGAUUUAGGCAAGCUAGGAUUGUUAUACAUGUUUAACAAACUAGGUCCAAAAAAGCAGUAAAAAUUUAAUGCAUCUCCUUCUUUUCUAUAAAUGUCAAUGGAAGAACAAUCAAACAACUCUACUGGUUUCCUUAGGGACUGUUGGGUAACUAUUUCAUUUUUAAUUUUUGUUCAGUUUUUUUAAAAUAAAAAAAAACUGAAAUCUCAUUUGGUAACUACGUACUUUUAAUUUCAAAGAAAUGAAAACUGAAAUAAAAAAACUGAAAACUACUUUUUUGAGUUUUCAAAGUUUGACUUGUUGAGUUUUUAAUUUCUGAAUUUGAGUUUUCAUUUUUUUUAACUGAAAGUAGUUACCAAAUGAGAUUUCAGCUUAAGUUUGAAAAAGUGAAAACAAGAAUUGAAAACUGAAAAUGAAAUGGUUGUCAAACGGCCCUUACCUCUUUCAAUUUAGUGCCACUUAAUGUGUGUGAAGUAGCUAGUGGUUAGUUGUUGCAUUAAACUUUAAAGGUUAGAUUGUACUUAUAUGUAUAAGAUAUACGAUAAUAAUCAGUGUGACAUGCCUCAAUGUUGUUGAUUGCCUUAAGGAUUAAUCAAUCGGGAUAAUUGAUGUCAAAUAAAAAUACGAGGUUUCAAAUAUGUGAAAAAGUGAAGAAAAGAGGUUGGAAAAACUCUUGUGUAUGAGUAGUGUUACUCGAUAUCAAAUCAUGAGGUUCACCAUGUGGUUCAAUAUUUUAGUUGAUAGAAUGUUGAGUUUCCACAUAUGCGUUAUGAGUUUGAAACUCUCCCAUUCUCUAAAUUAUUGUAACAGUUUUGAAUCCUUCCCUUCCCCUUAAUUUUAUUACUUUGAAUGCAGUCCCUAUCUAUCAAUAUUAUUUGAUUGAAACCUUGUUGGUUUUAAAUUUUUGAUCUAAGUCCUUGAAAUUAAUAUUAUAAUUUAUUUCUAUUUAUAUUACUAUAUUUUUUAAAUUAAAAAUUGAAAUUUAUAGUUGUAUGUUAAUGAGAUUUUAAAUAAAAAUCCAUAAUUUGUGGGAUUAAAAAUAUUAAAAUAUAAGUUAUACUAUUGUGUGUUUGUGUGUGUAAACAUGGGUACAUUCAUCAAAAUUAACAAAAAAAAUUAUUGUACCAAAACAUGGGUACAUUCUUCAAAACUACAAAAAAAAAAAAAAAAGAUACUAGGCUUAAUAACAUUAAUAAAUUUCUUCCAUAAAAUUUGACAUGAGUACAUUCUCAAAUCAAAGAAAAAGAAUGAACCCAUAUAAGUUUAAAAAUGGAUUAGAAAAAAAUUGAAUAGAUUUUAUAUAAAAAAAAAUGGUACAUUUUGUUUGCUAGCAAAAAAUGGUACAUUUUACAUAUAACAAAUUAGUAUAUUUAAGAAUGGGUACAUUUUAAGAUUAAAAAUUUGAAAACAUUUUUACAAAACUAACUUAUUCUGACUUUUUAUUUAUUUUGGAAAUGUUUUGGAUUAAAAAUUAGUUAGGAGUUUAAUAAGGGUAAGAGCAAGGAAGAAAAUAUCGGUGAUAUCGGAAAUAUCGGUAGUCCGAAAACACGGAAAUAUCGAUGGAAAUAUCGGUAAAAUAUCGAUAUCGAUAAAAAUUACAUGGAAACCACGGAAAUUGUAAAAAAACUUGGAAAUUUUUAUUGAAACUUUGUAGGAUGUUUAUUUAGUCAAUUAUCUAUUAGUUUAUCACAAAAA